rnacentral:tRNA from 1 species
AGGAGUUUAGGUUAAAACAGACCAAAAGCCUUCAAAGUUUUAAGCAGAUCAUAAUUGAUCUAACUCCUG